AAAGGAUGCUCCAGAGAAAGCAAGAUCAAGAGAGGCCUGAACUCACUUUUAUAACAAGCCCAGUCUCAUGGUAACUGACCCACUCCCACAUUAGCAACAACAAUCCAUUCAUGAAGGCGGAGCCCUUGUGACCUAACCACCUCUUAUUAAGCCCCACCUUCCAACACUGUCACAUUGGGGAUUUAGUUUACAGCACAUGAACUUUGGGGGACACACUUAAACCAUAGUGCCGUCUUCAGUCUGAGAAGAAUUUCUGUCUUUCAUUGAAGUUCCAAAGGCUUCUUAUUUUGAUGACUUUGCCUAAAGAAGGGAUUCUACAGCCAAAUGCUUUCUUUUUAACAUACCGAAUGAGUAAAAGUGCAAAAUAAGUACAGAACUAUCAAACAGCAACAAAUGUGCUUCUGCUGCCUACCACAGAAUUUUCCUUGCCUCAGAGUUGAUGAUGAAUGCAGUCCUGCUCCACUUUGAUUCCAUCUGGCUCUGGAAGGUGUUUCUGAAGAUUUGUGAACAGCAUUUGAAUUUGUUUGUUUUUAUUUAUAUUGUCUUUUUACUAUGAUGUAUAAAUAUGUCCUGUAAUGUCAUUGAUCUAUAUGAUGAGUGAGACAAUCAAGUGUUAAAAUGGAACUUGUUGAUUAGGAUAUUUAUACCAUAGUUUAGUUUUCUUAAGAAACUCUGACAGACACGAUAUUUAAAAUGACUAAAUUUACACUUUGACAUAAGGCUACUAAAAGGUAGAAUAUACCAUUGAGAUAUGCCACUUGAAAAAACUACUUUUAAAAAAAUGGCAUUACUGGUGUCAUGAAGAAAAGAAAUGCUUUUAUCUCAACCCUGGUUUCAAAAAUUUGUGUAAAAAUUUUCACCUCAAUAAAUAGUUUACUUCUGUGUAGAAAAGGAGACUUAUGCUUGCUGCCAAUUUCUUCACAAAGCAUGCUUAAAAGAUAAACACUUGGGGCCACAGUUUGAAUGUAUUAACUACUUCACCAACUAUUUUCUGGGGACAAAGCAAUGCAUAAAGGACAUUCAUCUUUAUCCAUGUAAAUAUUUUCUUGUUGAGCACAUACUGCUGUUCAUGUCUUUCUAGCCUAAAUCAUAGUUCACAGAAUAAUUGUUAACCACAUGGAAAACCUCCCCUAGCAUGGGGUUGGAGCCAUAAACUAGCCAAUAAGUCAUUGAGCACUUUUCUUUCAUAUAUUUCUGCAUAUUUCUGUCAAGCGCUGAUUGAUACUCUGCACACCUGAUUCUUUCCAAAUGUAAGCCAAGUAUCUGCUAGCAUGUACUCCUGAUAAGACAUUGUUCUUCUGUGCUGUAUGCCAUUAAUAUUAUAUGAUGUACAGUAGUUCACUUGGAUUAUGAAAUUGCCAGUAGCUAAUUAAAGUUUCUUCCUGAGCAUGGUAAUGAUCAUUAACCUUAGAGCUGGUUUCAGAAAUUUCUUAGUGAUAAUGUGACUUCUAUAUUUCUUUUUUUGAUGUGUAACUUUGAAUAAUGUUUAUUUAGUUUUAGUCUCUUCUCCAUCUUUAAAUGACAAAAUUUAUCAAUUUCAUAUUAGAAAGCAUUAUUUUGUGCUUGUUCAGGAAAAAUUCAAUUGGUUUAUCAGAAAGGUCACGGAACUAUGAAAGCAAUGCAAAAGCUCCUGUGGCUUCUUGCCAUUCUUUAACAAAGUUUUGUAACAGACAAUGCAAUAGAAACUAGAGGCAAAUUGAUUGCUGGUCUGAUAAAAUCCAAUUUUCACAUAUUCAUCAAGAUUCACUUGUUUUAGCAAAUACAGCUUCAUAUUUGAUAUUUGCAUUGAAUUCCUGUUCCCUGUUUACAUUUACAGUGUUGUUCUAUUUAUAUUACAAUUUUCGUCACUACUUUUAUACUUUACUUUUAAAUAACUGAUUUAUUUCUGUGAAUUGGCUAUCAUGACACAAUAAAAAGUCUAAAGCUGACAGAUGUAAAUGACAUUUAAAUGUGCAA
rnacentral:lncRNA from 10 species